CAGUCCCAGAGUUUUGUGGAUCGGUCUUUCAGUUGAUAAGGGAAUCUGGACGUGGGUGGACGGCACAUCUUAUGAGAGAUCUCUAAAGUUCUGGAGAGAGGGGCAGCCUUUUAGCUGGGAUUACUAUGGAUUUGACCAGGAUAGCUCUGAACAUUUCUUUGAACUUUUCCAACACCACAUUGAAGAAAGGUGUGUUUUUUUUUGGAAGACGGAGAGGGCUGGAGCUCUUCUUCCUGCUCCGAUAGUUACCAAUACGUCUGUGAGAAGAAGACAUUGUGACCUACAGACUUCUCCUGAUAUCUCCAUCUCCUAAUUAAUCCUUCACCAUACUGCAGUGAUGGAGAAUCUACUAACAAAGCAAAAUGUAUCCUGCUGGCAAUUCUGGGACUUGGACUACCUUGUGAUGAGGGUUCCUCAAAAUGUCUACACCCCAUCUCCAGCCUUCAAUUUAUUAAACAACUAAACUCCA